rnacentral:rRNA from 1 species
AUUGAACGCUGGCGGCAGGCCUAACACAUGCAAGUCGAACGGUAACAGGAAGAAGCUUGCUUCUUUGCUGACGAGUGGCGGACGGGUGAGUCAUGUCUGGGAAACUGCCUGAUGGAGGGGGAUAACUACUGGAAACGGUAGCUAAUACCGCAUAACGUCGCAAGACCAAAGAGGGGGACCUUCGGGCCUCUUGCCAUCGGAUGUGCCCAGAUGGGAUUAGCUAGUAGGUGGGGUAACGGCUCACCGAGGCGACGAUCCCUAGCUGGUCUGAGAGGAUGACCAGACACACUGGAACUGAGACACGGUCCAGACUCCUACGGGAGGCAGCAGUGGGGAAUAUUGCACAAUGGGGGCAAGCCUGAUGCAGCCAUGCCGCGUGUAUGAAGAAGGCCCUCGGGUUGUAAAGUACUUUAAGCGGGGAGGAAGGGAGUAAAGUUAAUACCUUUGCUCAUUGACGUUACCCGCAGAAGAAGCACCGGCUAACUCCGUG